rnacentral:lncRNA from 1 species
UGUCAUUCAGUACGUUAAUAAUAUUGUGCAAUUAUCACUAAUAUGUAGCACCAGAACAUUUUUAUCAUUCUGCAAGGAAGCCCGUAUCCACUAAGCAGUCCCUCCCCCAUUUCCUCUCCUUCCAGCCCCUGGUGACCAUUAAUUGUUCUGCUUGACUGUGUUAUGAGCACUCCCUGAAUGCCAGGCAUUGUGCUAACCUCACUUAAGGUUCACACACCUUAAGGUUUGGGCAAGCAGCUCUAAGAGACUGGGUUCUUCCACUCACAGGUGAAAUAAAUGGGGCUCAGAGAGAAAAUACAUCUGUGAAUCACAAUGCCUGUAACUGGCAGAAUCUGGACUAGAACUCCAAAACCCAGUACCAUUUCCACCCUGUGUUAAAUGAUGACCAAGCCCCGAGACCUUUCCCAGGAUGAUGUAGGUCUGGCUGACUAGUAAAGCCCACGUCACUCCAUUAUGAAAGAAUAUUCCUCCCAUUCCACCCCAAAGGUCAAGUAGGAACAAAAAAAAUGGAGCACAGAUUCAAAUGACUUAUUCCCUAGGAAUUUUCCGGAUCUGGGAUGCUGAGUUGAGGUAAGUAGUUUGCCAUCACAGUCCUGGAUAAAAAGACACUGUCAGUUGCAUUUGCAAACUGUGGGAUGAUGUUCAGGGCAGCCAGGCUCUCAAAGAGGUUUAUCUAUCAAGGAUCAGCCGUGGCAUGAUUCCCACGCACUGGAAUCCAUUUCCCUGGCUUCUGAAUGUGAUCUGUGACUCGGCUUUCGCUGGAUAAAGUGCCAAGCUGCAUUCUAGGAAACACUCAAGAUCAGGAAUCACCAAGCACUGUGUGCCCUUCAGUAUGGCUUCACAUUCUUUUCCCACUAAGGACAUAAAACAAAAACAAGAACCCACACAGGGCAAACUUUGUAAAUUGCAUUAUAAAACCAAUGUCUGCUUUGUGAGCACAUAUGAAUUUUGCUGCCUGUUGGAAUUAAACCACAUAAAUGUUCCUUGCAAAUUUAAUGUCUGAUGUGACUGCACAUUUUAGUUUUCCCGGGAAAGGUGCGAUACAGAACUAUUGUACUGACAUAAUUAUCAUACAACUAACCUUCUACUCUCAAACAUUGGAGUAAAUAUCAAACUACAAGGUUUGUUCUAGCAUGAGGAGGAGAAUCAGAGCAGUGUGUUGAAGUUCCUCCUCCUGGGGCUCCCUAUCAGACCAGAGCAGCAGAACAUCUUCUUCACCCUGUUCCUGGCCAUGUCCUUGGGAACCUGCUCAUCAUCCUGCUCAUCAGGCUGGACUCUCACCUCCACACCCUCAUGUACUUCUUCCUCAGAUACUUAGACUUCACAGACAUCUCUUUCUCAUCAGUCACUGUCCAAGAGAUGCUCAGGACCAUUCAGACUCAGCACCUAAGUGUUCCUUAUGAGGGGUGCUUCCCCAAUGUACUUUUUCUUACUUUUUGUAUAUGUUGGCAAUUUGCUUCUUGGAGUGAUGGCCUUAUGACAGCAGGUAUGUGGCCAUCUUCCACCCACCAUACUUCACCAUUAUAAUGAGGGAGGAGCUGUGUGUGGCUGGGUUGAUUCACUUCUUGUGUGCAUGCCUGUUGCAUAUUCCAUCCUGUCCCAUCCAUACCUCACCUGUCCUAUGAUCUCAAUAAGCCCUUGAAGUUGUCCUGCUUAGACACCUAUUUCAAUGAGUUAGUGAUCUUCACUGAGGGAGGAGUGUUGACUCUCCUGCCCUGGGUACCAUUUUGGGUUGUUAUGUCUGCCCUGGGGGUACUGUACUAAGGGGCACCUCCACUAAGAAGACUUGCAAAGUUCUACCCACUUGUGGCUCCCCACCUCUUCCUAGCAAUUUUACACCACAGGACUCUUGCAAUUAUUUAUUUCUUUCCUUCCUCAAACAGCUCCUAAUUUAGGGAUACAAUUGUUUCAGUUAUGCAUGCAAUGGUGACACCCAUGCUGAACCCCAGGAAUGGAGAUGUGAAAUUGACUCUGGUACUGCUUUUGACAAGUGAGAGUUAUACAUUCAAGUUCUCUUUUCCCCCCUUUUCAUCAUUUACAUAAUUAGUUAUUCUAGUAUUUUGUGCAGUGCAUUGCAAUCCUCCUAACUAACUCCUCACAUAGUAUUCUGAAGAUAAACUUGGUGAAUUUUCAGUCUUUUAAUAAGUUAUUUUGUUCUUGUAUUGAGAAUAGAUAUUUUUCUUUUUUUGAUGCAAAC